UGUAGACGAACGUUUUUAUGGUCGUUUUCAUGUUCUACUUCAUAAAUAACAUUAAUAAUUAUGAAUAUUAGUAGGUGGACAUUCAAUAUGUUAAUUCAAAGCUAAGACUCAAGGUUACUAGAAAUACAAGGUAUGUCAAUGACAUAAAUCGGGCCAACACUCCUUUUCAAAAUGUUGAACAAUACUGACCGCUAGUUAACCUACAUAGAAGGAUUGUUUUUGUGACAUCAGAGUCGAUAAUAAUAUAUUGUUUAGUCAUCGUUUUAAUACUAAUAAAUUACUAUUACAUUAAAUUCAUAAUUUAUAUUGUAACUGCCGAUGGAGUCCCACAAUAAAACUUGGAUUUGUGCAGUUGCCAUUUCUGGCUCACUUAAUAAUGUGGUUUACCACAAUUUUCCUAAGGAUUGCUUAAGGAGAAAAAUUUUAUAAAGAGCCUGCUAUCGAGAAGAUAGCCUUGAAAAAACACCCCAAAAUUUGUGCAAAUUAUUUUGAGGAAAACAGCUAUGAGAGAUAUUGAAGGAAUGAUAUAUUGGGGUUUUCUUCAAGAAGAAAAUUAAAAUCAGAUGUUAUUCCUUCCAAAAAUCUUGUACUAGGAGAAAAACUUCUGCCGACCACAAGUGAAAGGAGCAAAGAAGAAUAGAAAGGAUUUUGUUGAUUCCAUUUUGAAGUCAAAUAAAGAAACAGCUUCAAUUCCCAAUUAUUUUGCUCCGGCUGUUGUUCUUGAUGUUGUUGAGCUUAAAUUUGUAGAAGCUCCCGUUCAAAUGCAUUUGGAACCUGCUGACACAUUGUCUCGUAGUAAAGUAAAAAUAUGCCACUCGUCUACUCAAACUUAUACAAUGAAAACGACCGAUUCAUACAACUAUGAGUGUGGAUGCCAGACUUUAAAAAUAACUAGAUCAAACAUGACAAAAGAAGAUCUCUGGACUCAAGAACUCAAGUCUCUAAGGAAAAAAAUCAGCAGCAAAUUCAGGAAACUGUUAAAAUCCAACAAUCGGAGAACAAGAAGUUCAAAGUAAACGUAUAGGGAAGAAGUCUGGUUCAUGGAAUAAGGAGGAUAAUACUCGAGUAUCUUUCCCCAAAAGCUUACAGAUACAUUCAGCCCAGCGGACUUCUUCCGGUUCCUUGCGUAUCAUCAUUAAAAAGGUGGAUCCAAAAUUUUAAAACAAUGCCUGGUGUUCACUCUAACAUUUUUUUGCCUCUCAACAAUUGAAGUCAACAGAAGUUCCAAAUGGAAACCUAGCUGUCUUUUGUGUUGAUGAAAUGAAAAACACGAAGGAAGCCUGCUAUUCUAUUAAACAUAAAGAAUUUAUGUUUUUCAAAGAAAAUUAUGCAGGUAUUAUGCAAAAAUUGUCUUUCGUAGACAUUCUUUGUCUUGGAAUAUACUACCAACAGCUGGUACAGCAGAAUUACAGUGUUCAUUAAACCCAUUAUUAUUUUUUAGAUAUUCUAUUCAGGUGAAAUAAAAUUGUGGGCCGAAUCAACAUUUCCUAAAUUAGUAUUUUAUCUCUCAGCCAUUCUAUUUAACAUAUCAAUGCUUUUUAUUCCUCAUAUUUCGAGACGGAUUAACAUCAGAAUCGAUAGUAGUCCAAAGUUAUCAGAGGCCAUUGUAUAAAUUGGAUAACCUAACAUACUUUUUUUUAAGUAUUACACUAUUGAAUUCAUACAUUAAUAUAUGAUCAUGCUUUGAGCUACGUCUAGCUAACGUAUCCAUGAUGAUGUCAGCGAAUAAGAAGUUCCAUUUGAUAACUCCAGGGAUAUAUUUUGUAUCAGUAUGAUUCAAUCAUCAAGUCCAGAAGAUUUACAUAACUAACAAAACAGUUAACAUUUCAUGAAAUAUAUUAAACAUGCGAGGAAACAGUUUCUUGCUUUAACAUUUAUAAUAAUUUAUUUGGUGUAUAUGAUAUUCCAAUCAGUUAGAUCUAUGUAUAAUAUUGAAGCCCUUGAUUGAACUUGGUUAAUAAGGUCGUAUGAUUUAGCAUUAGUUCAUAUAUUUAGUAAAAAAUUAUUUCAUAUCAUGCCAGAAUAUAUGUGAAACUCUUCAUAUUGGUACACAAAAUAAACAAAUUUAAUAUUUUUAGAGAUUGAGUACAAAAUGUUGUUAAGUUUGUGGUUAUUUUUUCAUUUUGCUGUUGUGUAUACUUAAGAAUGGAUUACUAAA
rnacentral:lncRNA from 1 species